rnacentral:tRNA from 1 species
AACGCGGUGCAGCGGGCUCAUAACCCGAAGGUCGCAGGUUCGAAUCCUGCCCCCGCUA